CCCCCCUCAAGAUGAGAUUUCCCAUAGCGUAAGCUAGUAAGAUCCCUGAAAGAUGAUCAGGUUGAUAGGUUCGAGGUGGAAGCAUGGUGACAUGUGGAGCUGACGAAUACUAAUAGAUCGAGGACUUAACCAU
rnacentral:rRNA from 2 species